rnacentral:rRNA from 1 species
ACAUGAGCGGCGAGCGUUAUCCCCUAUGGUUGGGUGUUAAAUAUCUGAAGGAAAUAUCAACCACUAAAGUUGGGUUGAUUUAAAAUUAUAUUACAUUAGAGUUCUCAUCUUAGGUAUUUAUAGGGGUAAAAUCCAACGAAAAAUAUCAAAGAUCGAAAGAUGGAAAUAUGGGAACAUUUUGUAUGAGCCUGACAGAUGAAAGUAAAGGUAGUGGCGAGGAUUUGGGACCCUUUUAAUCUUUACUGUAAAUUAUGAUCGCUAGACAAUAUUAUUUCAGCUAACGUUAAAGUGAUCUACCUGGGGCCUAAAACCGCAAGGUUAAAACUUAAAAAAAUUGGCGGGACUUAAGAAACGGUGGAACAUGUGAUUUAAUUCGGUAAUCCUCGCAAAAUAUUACUAGAGUGGUGUGGGAAAUCUUUAUUUUUAAAGUAAAUAUUAGUAGCCCACGUUAAGUAUUGCAUGGCUAUCGUCAGUUCGUGCUGUGAAGUGUAGUGUUUGGUCACCGAAACGAACGCAACUCUACGUUGUAUAAUUUAAAUAUACAAAGAAGAAUUCAAGACUGAAGUUAAGUCUUUAUGGUCUAUGUACUCUAGGCUACACACGUGUUAUAAUGGUAAAAACAAUACGCAAUGCGAGUUAAUACUCAAAUUAAUCGUAAAAAAUUACCAAUGUUCGGAUUAUUAUUUUUAGUCAAUAAUAUGAAGGUAAAAUCGUUAGUAAUCACAAAAUAGGAUGUUGUGGUGAAAGUUCACACAAGUUUGCACACACUGCCCAUCACGCUCAGAGAGUUGCUUUUAUUUAAAAUACGAAUUUCGUGGUUACCUAAACGAACAGGUAAACAGGUUUUUUUGUACGUAAAACUAGAAGUGG